CCUACGGGAGGCUGCAGUGGGGAAUAUUGGGCAAUGGAGGCAACUCUGACCCAGCAACGCCGCGUGAAUGAUGAAGGUCUUCGGAUUGUAAAGUUCUUUUCUAAGGGAAGAAGAAAGUGACGGUACCUUAGGAAUAAGCCUCGGCUAACUACGUGCCAGCAGCCGCGGUAAUACGUAGGAGGCAAGCGUUAUCCGGAAUGACUGGGCGUAAAGGGUGCGUAGGUGGUUUGACAAGUCAGCGGUAAAAUCGCGGGGCUCAACCUCGCUCCGCCGUUGAAACUGGCGUUCUUGAGUGGGCGAGAAGUAUGCGGAAUGCGUGGUGUAGCGGUGAAAUGCAUAGAUAUCACGCAGAACUCCGAUUGCGAAGGCAGCAUACCGGCGCCCAACUGACGCUGAAGCACGAAAGCGUGGGUAUCGAACAGGAUUAGAUACCCCAGUAGUC
rnacentral:rRNA from 1 species